rfam:Candidatus Roizmanbacteria bacterium RIFCSPLOWO2_01_FTLL_45_11 rifcsplowo2_01_scaffold_120195, whole genome shotgun sequence.
UAAGGGAAAAUUUUGAUCUUGACGUAAGAGUGUGCAGAUGCAAAAUGCGUGGAAAGUUAAGAUGGAGAUUAUACGUCACAUCAAAAAGCAUGAACAGGUUUAUCAAUUUAGUAAAACCAUUCGUGAAUCCCUGCUUUAACUAUAAAAUUCGCAAGUUUAACUAGCCAGCAGUAGCGGUAAUACAGAGACCUCAAGCGUUAUCCGGAUUUAUUGGGCGUAAAGCGCGGGUAGGCGGUUUUAUUAGUCAGAUGUCAAAUUUUCCCGCUUAACGGGAAAACCGCAUUUGAAACGAUAAAACUAGAGAGUGUGAGAGACCAGUGGAACUCAUAGUGUAGCAGUGAAAUGCGUUGAUAUUAUGAGGAACACCAAAGGCGAAGGCAUCUGGUUGGCGCACUUCUGACGCUGAGCCGCGAAAGCGUGGGUAGCGAAUGGGAUUAGAUACCCCAGUAGUCCACGCCCUAAACGUUGCAUACUAGAUAUCAGGAGAAUCGACCCUUCUGGUGUCGCAGCUAACGCGUUAAGUAUGCCGCCUGGGAAGUACGAGCGCAAGCUUAAAACUCAAAGGAAUAGACGGGGAUCCGCACAAGUGGUGGAGCAUGUGGUUUAAUUCGACAGUAAGCGAGGAACCUUACCAGGGCUUGAAAUCCAGCUGCAUCCCGCAGAAAUGCGGGAGCCUUAGAGGGUGCUGGACAGGUGCUGCAUGGUUGUCGUCAGCUCGUGCCGUAAGGUGUUCCGUUAAGUCGGGAAACGAGCGCAACCCCUGUCGUGUGUUAUUAUGUCACACGAGACCGCCCAACACUUUGAGUGUGAACAACUCAAAAUUACUUACAACUUACAACCCACAACUUACAACAAUUUCAAAUCAAAUGUUGUCAGUUGUUAGUGGUUGGUUGUCAGUUAACUUUGUUUGCUUCGCAAACAAAGUGUUGGGAGGAAGGAGGGGAUGACGUCAAAUCCGCAUGGCCCUCUGACGCCCUGGGCUACACACGUGCUACAAUGGCCGGUAUAACGGGUUGCCAAGCCGCGAGGCGGAGCUAAUCCUAUAAAACCGGUCUCAGUUCGGAUUGAAGUCUGCAACUUGACUUCAUGAAGCCGGAAUCACUAGUAAUCGGGAAUCAGCCAUGUCCCGGUGAAUACGUUCUCGGAUCUUGUACUCACCGCCCGUCACACCAAGAGAGUCGGUAAUACCCGAAAGUCCCGCUUUAAAACGGGAAUGACGGUAGGAUCGAUAAUAGGGGUGAAGUCGUAACAAGGCAUCCGUAGCGGAAGCUGUGGAUGGAUCACCUCCUUU